CGGGUGAGUAAUGUAUGGGGAUCUGCCUGAUGGCGGGGGAUAACUACUGGAAACGGUAGCUAAUACCGCAUAAUGUCUACGGACCAAAGCGGGGGACCUCCGGGCCUCGCGCCAUCAGAUGAACCCAUAUGGGAUUAGCUAGUAGGUGGGGUAACGGCUCACCUAGGCGACGAUCCCUAGCUGGUCUGAGAGGAUGACCAGCCACACUGGAACUGAGACACGGUCCAG
rnacentral:rRNA from 1 species